UACGUAGGGGGCUAGCGUUGUCCGGAAUCAUUGGGCGUAAAGAGCGUGUAGGCGGCCCGGUAAGUCCGCUGUGAAAGUCGGGGGCUCAACCCUCGAAUGCCGGUGGAUACUGUCGGGCUAGAGUGCGGAAGAGGCGAGUGGAAUUCCUGGUGUAGCGGUGAAAUGACGUUGAUAUCAUUAGGAACACCAGAGGCGAAGGCGGCUCACUGGGUCUCAACUGACGCUGAUGCACGAAAGCUAGGGUAGCGAACGGG
rnacentral:rRNA from 1 species